rnacentral:rRNA from 1 species
AGAGUUUGAUCCUGGCUCAGAACGAACGCUGGCGGCGUGCCUAACACAUGCAAGUCGAACGAGAAAGCGGGCUUCGGUCCGUUAGUAGAGUGGCAGACGGGUGAGUAACACGUGGGUAACCUGUCCGGAGGCGGGGGAUAACCCUUCGAAAGGGGGGCUAAUACCGCAUAACAUUCAUCAGACUUCGGUUUGGCGAAUCAAAGCUUGCCUCUACAUGUAAGCAAGCACCACCGGAGGGGCCCGCGGCCCAUUAGCUUGUUGGUGAGGUAACGGCUCACCAAGGCUACGAUGGGUAGCCGGCCUGAGAGGGCGAUCGGCCACACUGGAACUGAGACACGGUCCAGACUCCUACGGGAGGCAGCAGUGAGGAGUCUUGCGCAAUGGGGGAAACCCUGACGCAGCGACGCCGCGUGGAGGACGAAGGCCUUCGGGUCGUAAACUCCUGUCAAGUGGGACGAAUCCGGGAAGAUGAAUAAGCUUUUCGGUUGACGGUACCACUGGAGGAAGCCCCGGCUAACUCCGUGCCAGCAGCCGCGGUAAUACGGAGGGGGCUAGCGUUGUUCGGAAUUAUUGGGCGUAAAGGGCGCGUAGGCGGCCUGGUAAGUCGGACGUGAAAUCCCGCGGCUCAACCGCGGAAUUGCGCUCGAAACUGCCAGGCUUGAGUCCCGGAGAGGGUGGCGGAAUUCCCAGUGUAGCGGU